rnacentral:lncRNA from 1 species
AUGCUGAGGCAGUGCGCAUGCCCAGGGCUGCGAGCCUCCGAACAGUCAUUGGUGUGGGAUGUGUGGGUCGUGUCCCUCCAUUUGGAUUCCUUCUUGCUGUCUGAGACUCAAUUGGCUAAGCAAUCAAGUAAAAAAAAACAUCAGAAGAAAAGGAACCAACAGCCAAGAAUCCAGAUAUUGAGUUUGGACAAGAGAAAGAAGAAGGAGCACAUGUGGUUCAAGGUUGAUGAGGAGAUGGAGAAAAUGUAUUUCAUUUAUGUGGUUAUAUUAGUAACAGAAAUAAAGGGUUUCCUGAAAAUUGGCUGGAAACUUCUUUGGUGAUGGACAGUCAUAAGAAGAAAAGCUGAAGCCACACAACGUUUUGUUUGUUCUAUUGAUAAUUUGGUUUAAAUUUUCUCAAUAAAGAAUUUAAGUUUGCUCA